AUCUUUGAAAUGAAAAUUGGUGCCCAAGGUUGGAGACGCACUUACCUCCAGCUCAUGCGGAAACCAUUAUGGUCUGUGGCCCGAAGUUCACACACGCUGACACACCGGGCCGGACUCCAUUCCUUUACCUAGGCCCAGGAGCCCAGGAAAACUGCAUCCAGCUGCCGGUUAUAGCUGUGACUGCAUAGUGGGAACAAUUGCAACCAGGUUGCAGGGGAAGCAGAUCCUGCCCCCAACCAGCUCACACUGGCCUCCUCCCUACUGGUCUACAAGCACAGUCCAGCCUGGGGCCUGGCACCAGCAAGCCAGCCUUGAGGAAAUGAAGAGAAGAGAUCUCACCAGAGAAGCCUCUCUGGUGAAGGCUGGAGGUCAGAAGUGCAUGUACCACUUUGACUUGGAUGAGAAUCCUUCCGUGCUGUGGGAAGAUUUCUCCAUCAGGAGCUAAGUUUCUGCUUCCACAGCUGCCAUUCCAAGGCCAACGGGGCUGUGUGAUGACCAGACAGAAAGAAUGUCACCCACCCCACCUCAGGCUCCUUCCCGCUUCAUUCUCCCUGCUGUUCCAGAGCCCUUGGCUCGGAGACUCAAUUCCAUGGCCUUCUGCAGCCUGCACAAGCCUGCAGACACCUCCCCUGGGCUCAGGCAAGAGUGGUCAGGCCUUUUGGACCUCAGGGUUCUGCCCAGGAAUAUCCUAGGACACUCGGACGGUGGCCUCGCACACUCCCCUCAUCUCCAGGACGAGUUGGCGGGACCCACCACAGGACUCUGUUAUGCUUCCUUCCACACACCUUGCACCGAGGUGUCAGCAGGAUGCCUUCAUCCAGCAACGACCCCCCGCAGAGCCACCCAACCCCCACCCGGGGCCACAGCGCAGUCCCUCCGGAGGGUCCUGUCUAAGGUGGGAACAGCAGGAAGAUCUGCCUCCCGCUCCCUCCCGUUUCCUUCGCCGCUCCUUUUGUUCUAUAUUUAAUUUUUUUGUUUUAAAUCCAGUUGAAGAGCGCCGGGUGAAUCACCGACGGUUAUUGAUUUAUUAUUUAUGGCGACUCACAUGCCGCUUUAAUCAUGCUCGCUGUCCUUUUCCUAGUCAACUCCGCUGAAGGACAACUCAAGGAAACCGUCUGGGUGCUGCAGAUGGGCCGCGUGCAUGUUUAUUGUGCGCUUGCUACCUGUUGGAAGGCAGGGAGCCUCUGAGUUUGGGGGUAGAAGAUGCUCUUGCUUUCCUGAGAUUGAAGGUCAGUCCUUGAGGAUUGGAGCAAGCUGGCGUGGUGUGUGUCUCACCGCUAAAGGGCCCCGGGUGCCUGUUUUCUGUUUUCUCUGGCUUCUUCCCUUCCCUUUCCUAUUGAAGACAUGGCCUGGUUUGAAGAAUAAGUGUCUAUGUCUCCCCAGCCUCCCCAAACUGCCAAAGUCAUUUGCUUUAGAAAUCAAACAGAUUAGGAUGGUCCGUGCUAGCCUACAGCAUUAAUGGAGGGCUGGCUGGUCUGGCAGGCAAGCCAUCUCCUUCAUGGGGGGCACUGCAUUAGUCCUGGGUUCUGUGGACAGACCCCAGGAAGGAGCCAGACCCAGGAAGUAGGUGAAACUCAACAGGAGACGGGUCUAACUGCCAGAGAGUCGCUGAGGGGCGCUGUGCAUCUGCUCUGCCUCGUUCUCCAGGGAACUGUGAGGACACCAGGGUUUGUGCUGCUCAGAUCCCGUGGCUGACAAAUGUUCUCCUACUCUGGGAACGCCCACCAUGUUUCUAGCCCUACCCCUUCACAUGCUCCCCAGACAGCUGUUCUCUACAGUUGCCCCUCCCCACGCGGCUACUGUCAUGGUGGGGUUGCCUGAGGCUGGCCCUUGAGGUAGAGGAUGUUUCUGGAAGGUGAAUCUGACGUGACUGUUAUCAUGUCGUGGUUAGGUGUGAGCACAGUGGCCCAGGCAUGUGUACAUGUGUGGCGAUGUUUGUGCUUGUCAGAGAGGUGAGAGGGACAUUGCCUUUCCAGGCUUUGUUUCUUACCACCCUGUCUCAUGACAUCACUAGCCUCGGGCAAGUCGGGUGCUGUCUUCAGGACUUGGUUCCUCCCUAUAACAUGGGUCAAGCUGGGAAGGUUGGGAAGGGCCAGUAGAUGGCAGAUGCCCAUCAAGCUGGAGUCCAGGUCCUGAUUGCCACACAGGACCUUUUCUAUGCAGCGACAUCUGAU